CCACUCCCCCUUUCCUCAUCUGAUGCCUUCUCGCGAGGCAUUCACACAACUACCUCCGACUAUGGUCACCGACAAGGAGUGGCCGGACGAUCGGCCUCUGUCGGAUGCCGUCAACACCAUUUCGGGAGGAUCCCAGCGGGAAGCAACCAACGUACCGGCUGUAUCCCCCAAGCGACAAAAGAUUGAAAAGAUUGAAGAACCUAUAACCUUUACCGAAGAAGACACCC
rnacentral:lncRNA from 1 species